GGAUUUGUUUUGGUACGCCAGACUGGGACAGUGUGGAGGGGGAGAGUGAGUCCCUGCGCCAUCUUGUGGAGGAUGAUAAAACAGGCCGAGACUAACUGGAUUACCGUUCGAAAGAGGAUAUUGGUCACGUGUGAACAGAAUAUAAAUGAAAGCCAAAGACAGAAGAUAUACUGUGUAGGAUGGGGUGAGGAAACAUCUGGUGAUAUGUCACCUGGAAGGAAUAACUCCUGGAAGGAAUAACUGACUCAGGAUAUGCUUCAAAGAAAA